GACGAACGCUGGCGGCGUGCUUAACACAUGCAAGUGGUGCGACGAACCAGGGCUUGCCCUGGGGCAAAGCCGCGAACGGGUGAGUAACACGUGGGUAAUCUGCCCCGAUGACCGGGACAACCCGAGGAAACUCGGGCUAAUACCGGAUGAUGAGCCUUGGCGUAAGCCUUGUCUCUAAAGGAAGCUUCGGCCUCCGCAUUGGGAGGAGCCCGCGGCCCAUUAGCUUGUUGGUGGGGUAAUGGCCACCAAGGCAACGAUGGGUAGCUGGUCUGAGAGGACGAUCAGCCACACUGGGACUGAGACACGGCCCAGACUCCUACGGGAGGCAGCAGUGGGGAAUCUUGCGCAAUGCGCGAAAGCGUGACGCAGCAACGCCGCGUGGGGGAAGACGG
rnacentral:rRNA from 1 species